CUCACUGACUUAUUCCACAGCUUCAGUGUAUUUUUUCAUUUUUUAUUUAUUUUGCAGUUAAUUGGAUUUCCAGGUUUUGCAGCCAGUCAUUGCAAUUGAUCCCUGAAAAGAUGGAUUUAUUGCUUAGCCAGGCAGAAUUCUGACAAUCUUCAGAGGAUGGAAAAUAAAAGAAAACAGCCCAGACAUAGAGUACUAUGGGUCAUCAUUGGGUCAGACCAGCAAGAUAUGUUACAGCUGGCAGGUUUAUGCCAGAACUUCAGCACAAGUAAUCUUCUUGCUAAAUGGGCAGUACCAGAACCCAGUGGAAUAUUUUCUAGGGUACUGUCAGUGAUUCAUGCUUUGGAGGAUGAGAUCCUGAGGCAGAUGUCAAAUCUCAGGUUGGACCCAAGGGUGGAGAAUUGACUCAACUUGAAACAUCUUACGCCUUUGCUGUCUCAGGCUAGAACAGAACCUUAUUUGCCUGGUGAAUGGCUCUGUUGGAAUGCCACAAUGGCUCAGCAGGAAGAAACAAUAUAGAACUCAUGCCUUCAGCUCUUCUUUGUAGAGGGUUCUGGAAACUUGUCAGUUGAGAAGCAGCAAAACACCGUCCUGAGCUUACAAAAGUCCAACAUCUAAAUGUGGAAUAUAUACACAAUGGAAUUUUACUCCGCAAUAAAAGAGAAUAAAAUCAUGGCAUUUGCAGGUAAAUGGAUGGCAUUGGAGAAGAUAAUGCUAAAUGAAGUAAGCCAAUCCCCCCAAAACAAAUGCCAAAUAUUUUCUCUGAUAUAAGGAGGCUGACUCAUAGUGGGGUA
rnacentral:lncRNA from 1 species